ACCAAACGAGUGGAUGUGAUUGGCCAAUUUGUGAGCUAACAACAACAAAUCUACCUCGGUCGCUCUCUUACAUUUGAGAUUUUGAAUCGUAAAAUGGAAUUCUGGAAAAGCGAUAAAAAGUCAUUGAAGAGUGUGAGAUCAAAAAACUGUCGCGCUUUCUUAUAUCGUUUAUAACAAUCCGUUAGAGAAAUUUUUGCUACCAAAAGAUAUUCCUGGGAGAGGUGUACACGUUCGAUCGUUUUACCUUUGAGGUUUUUCUUUCUGUUCAUAUCUUUCAGCCAUCGAUCGCGGGAAUGCCGAAGGUUUGACUUCUUACCAAUUGAGAUUCGAUGCUUAGCUACACAAGAGAGGCAGAUGAGAUGUUCAAGAAUAAUUCGGAGUAACAGGAUAAGUGAAUGAGCUACCGAUAAGCUUAAUUUAGAAUUUUCAGAUUUAUCCACUCGUUUAGAUAUCCACUCCGAAUGGUCGGAGGAACAUGCUGAGUGGCAGCCAAUCACAUCCUGUACAUUAGAAAUCUUCGACCAAUCACAUCCACUCGAUUUGAAUUAACCAAAACGAGUGGAUGUGAUUGGCCAAUUUGCGAGUUAACAAAAACAAAUAUACAGUGGACCUUCUUAUGGGCCCCUUACGUACUCUCACUUUUGAGGGAUGGAAUUUGGAAAAGCAAUCUAAAAAGUCAUUAGAAGACUGUGAGAUCAACAGAGACAUCGUUUGUUAUUAUAUGUAUCAUGAGACCCUGUUUAGGGCAGUUAUAAGCCAAAAGUUAUUCUUAAAAUCAGUGCACGCUCGAUCAUUUUGCCUUCGAGGUUUUUCUUUUCGUAUAUAUCUUUCAGCCAUCGAUCGCGAUAAUGCCGAAAUUUAGACUUCUUAACAAUAGAGAUUCGAUGCUUGGCUGCACAAGAGAAGUGGAUGAGGUGUUCAAGAAGAAUUCGUAGCAGGACAAGCAAAUGAGUUGCAACUGAUUUGCAAAUUUCCCGAAGAUAGGAUGGUCCUGCUGAAGAUAGCCCUGAGGUGGAGUGACCUUGACUGUGGCAAAGGGGCACAUAGGAUGCAUGGUUGGUGCUACUUCUGCUCAAGCCAUGCAGAGGAUAGCAUUUCUUCCCUGAAUAGUAGGACACCAAGCACAUCUGUUGCCAAGGACAAAUUGAAAAUCAAAGAAUCAAUGAGUUGGUUGGUCUCCGCAGUCCCUCUCAGUCAAUAUACAGCAUGCAAGGCUCCCCAUGAACUGGCUAUAAAGAGAGCGAGUCUCGCUUUUUCAUCUUUAAGAAAGACAUCAUAUAAAAAUGGAAACUAUCUAAACAAAAAGCCAUGUUGGACACUCGCUGAAGAGAAUGAAAUUGCCUUUGUUUGCCAACUUUAAAAGUUGUACUCCAUAUGCUCAGUCUUUAAAGGACUCUGCUGAAAAUUGCUUAUUCCAUGGAAAGAAGAGGAUAAAAUUAGGAAAACUGAGUUCUAGGGGUCAAGAGGCCCAAUUCCAUGUUCUUCAGUACACGUCCCAUAAUUUCAUGCAAAUGGCUUGGACAAUUCUGCCUUUAGAUGGGGAAAAUGGCAGAGGUCCAGUAGUCUUUGUUUUGUUUUUAAAACUUUGAUGGUCCCUAAAAACUGAUAGGUUUUCACAAAAUAAAUAUAGAGUAGAAUUAAAUAUGGAAAAAAAAUAGUAAUAGGUCAUGUGGCUCA